rnacentral:rRNA from 1 species
UACAUGGGGUGCAAACGUUGCUCGGAAUUAUUGGGCGUAAAGCGCGCGUAGGCGGUUAUCUAAGUCGGAUGUGAAAGCCCUCGGCUUAACUGAGGAAGUGCACCCGAAACUGGAUAGCUAGAGUACGAAAGAGGGUCGCGGAAUUCCCGGUGUAGAGGUGAAAUUCGUAGAUAUCGGGAGGAACACCGGUGGCGGAGGCGGCGACCUGGGUCGAGACUGACGCUGAGGCGCGAAAGCGUGGGGAGCAAACAGG